AUGCACCUAUUGACAAAUAAGUAGACUUCUAAAAUGGAAAGUCAUUGCAGCUAUUUAUGACUACAAUAAACAAUUUUAAAAACUACCAUAAAGGCAGAAUGCUUCCAUUUCCUUAGACUCUCAACAUUUUAAAAUUUAUUUAUUUUUGGUACCUGGGAUCAAACUCAAGACCUCGUGUUUGUCAGGCAGGCGCUUAUACUGCUGAGCUAAAUCCUCAGCCCACACCCUCAACUUUUAAUAUUCAUUCCUAAGUAAACAUUCAAUAACACCAAAUUUGAAGAUUUGGACAACUUUAAAGUCAGAUCAGACCCCUGAGAAUAAGCAAACUACUUAAGGAUACUGCGCUGAAGCCGGCUCCAAGUAAGGAUGAUUGUUAUUGUGGUGAUUCAUGUAAGAUGGUUUUCUUUUUCCUUAAUGACCCAAAUUAACAGAGAGUAACAAAGAAAUGGAAAAGUCAGACACUUUGGAUUGUAGAGGAGAAGAAACAGAAGAAAAGGGUGCAGGAAGAACACCAUUAGCAGGAAUGAAGAAGCACCUAAAAGUGGACUCUGUGUGGGCUUUAAUGCCACUCUAAUGGAGCUGAAUCUACAAAGUGGUGGACCAGAACCCACAUGAAACCAGAUCAGACAUUCUGCCAUGAGUGGGAAGCUAAUUGGGCAGAGGUGGGCUAUCUUGUGAACUAAGACAGCCACUGUUUGGGUUGGGAAAAGGAUUUUUAAGGGUUGCUGUUGUUGCUGUGCGUGUGUUGGGGGGUGCUCUUUGGGUGAGCCAGGUGCUAGCAGCAGAUUGUGACAGAGUCCAUUUUCGGGUACAUUCCUAGGCAGAGUUGACUUUUGGGGUUGGAACAGUUCUAGGAAGUUUCUUUUCUUGCAAACCAGCCAUGAACAGGCUCCAGGGACAGGCUGACCCUUCACAAAGUUCUGGAAAAAAGAAUCAGUGAAAGGUUUCCCACCCACAUCACUUGAAAAUGCCUGCUUAAAAACCUCUAAUCACUGUAGAACACUAAUCUUGUCACUGAGCAGCUUGAGUCACAGCAUGGUUUAUAGCAAUUAGAAAUCACUUUAAUUUUUGGAGCAGGAGUGGGAAUGGGGCAAGGGUAGAAAGGAAGUUGGGUCCCCAUCUUACAGACUUGCCCCAUAAAUUCUGUAGAAAUCAGUGAUGCAGAGUUGGAAUUUCCUCCCUCAUAGAAUCAAGGUUACAAUACAGUUAUGUCAGGGACCUGGCCAAGGUCCCCAACUGCCUUUUUGAGAGAUACAGAGAAGAAAGAAAUAAGACAGACAAAUUUAGUGAUGCAUAAAGGAGAGCUCGGAAGUCAGUGUUUCAGGAUGGGCAAAGACAAUGACUCUCCAACCUUGCCACUAUUUAUUGAGCAUAUACAUACAUUUUUAGAGGGGAUUAUGUACUUCUCCUAGAACACGGAGGUGAUUGUGUGGAUUAGUAAAAAGAACAAAGCAUUCUUGCAAGGAUGGGACAAGGGCCAAUAAGGAAAAUGUAGUUUCCCCAGGCAAAACUUUUACUACUGCUACUAUAUUGCUUUGAAAAUUCCUGUUGUCCUCAGCAUGUUUUACCUUGCCCUGUGCAUACCACAGCGUCACUAGCUGUAGGCCUUCAGCUGUGAUCAGGAUAAAGUGGGAAGUUUCCGCAUUCUGGCUUACAAGGCAGUACAAGGAUGGCCUUUGACAUCCGCUGGACUCAAUUUAUAAUUUGUGGUCCCCAGCACAGUAAAUCUGUAAAGACAACUUUACAAACAAAAGCUAGUUAUAUUUUUAAAAUGUGUAUUGCAAAUGAUGCUCUUUCUGUGAAAAAUUGGUUGAGUGGAAAAAUCAGGGCUGUAUACACAUAGUCUUUGUCUCCACUGCCACUAGACUGUCCCAAACGUUCCUACAUGAAUUUGGAAAUAAGCACCUUCUCUCAUAUCCUCUCCCCAAGCUAUUUCAGCACAGGAGACUUGCUUUAGUGACAACAAAACCCCUUUUACUCUCCCUCUCUGCACAGCUGUGGCAGGAGCAGGGCCUCUAUGGGGAUCUUCUUGCAGGAAAAUGUCUUAAGGUUUCUGUGAUUCCAGAAUAAAAAAAAAAUGCAGAAAAAAAUGUCUUUGCAGCAGCUGUGACAUUGAGAAAAAGCAAUGGAUGCUUGGAGCUGAAUUAAUUUCCAUUUCAUUUGUCAGUUCUUUUCUGUGUGACCUGGGAGACUGGACCUCUCUGAAUAUGAAUUUCUUCCUUUAAAAAAAAAGAGUAAAAGUUUAUCUCAUGUUGUUCUUUAAAUAAACUUUUCUGAAAUUACUAA